UUCCUUUCCUCCCGUGCGGCCUUUCCUUUGCUUUUUCUGUUUGAGAGGGGAAGUCGUGUCAGGUAGUUUCCCUUUCUGUUUGAGAGGGGAAGUCUGUGUCAGGUAGUUUCCCUUUCUGUUUGAGAGGGGAAGUCUGUGUCAG
rnacentral:lncRNA from 1 species